rnacentral:antisense_RNA from 1 species
CACAGGAUCAGACUUGCAUCAUUGUCGGACAGCUCUCUCAUCUUUCAUUGACUCCCAACUCUCAGCAAUAUGGAAAUGCCCAAAUUCCCCUGACAUAUGGUAGAGGAAGUAAUAAAGAGUUUGAGGGAAAUGAGCAUGAAGGAAUGGAUAUAUUAGGGAGGAAUGGCCUACAGGGGCCAUGCAGGGGCUGCAUGGAUGAAUUGGUCAGUACACACAGAAGUGGACGGCAGUGGGCCAGGCACAGUGGCUCACACCUGUAAUCCCAGCACUUUGGGAAGCUGAGGUGGGUGGAUUGCCUGAGCCCAGGAGUUCGAGACCAGUCAGGACAACAUGACAAAACUCCACGUCUACUAAAAAUACAAAAUCUAGCCGGGCAUGGUGGCAUGUGCCUGUAAUCCCAGCUACUUGGGAGGCUGAGGCAGGAGAAUUGCUUGAGGUGGAAGUUGCAGUGAGCUAAGAUAGUGCCACUACACUCCAGCCUGGGUGACAGUCAGACUUUGUCUCAAAUAAAUAAAUAAAUAAAUAAGAAGUGGA